AGUCAAAAUUUAUUUUUUUAAACGACUUGAGUAUCGCAUCGGCAACUCAUUGGUCGAACGCUAGAAAAAGUCGAAAACAAAAUGAAAGCAGUGGUGAUAACAGCACUAGGUGGCCCGGAGGUGCUGCAAUUGCAAGAGGUAGAUGACCCGCAAAUCAAAGACGAUGAGGUCCUCGUCAAGGUCGAAGCUACGGCCCUCAACCGGGCGGAUACGCUCCAAAGAAUAGGCAAGCACCCGCCUCCCAAGGGUGCUAGCCCCUACCCGGGUCUUGAAUGCUCCGGCACCAUCGAAGCCGUUGGGAAACUCGUUUCUCGCUGGAAAGUGGGUGAUCAGGUGUGUGCUCUUCUUGCUGGAGGUGCUUACGCGGAGAAAGUGGCAGUUCCAGCGGGACAAGUUCUUCCUGUCCCGCCUGGCAUUUCCCUCAAGGAUGCUGCUGCUUUCCCUGAGGUGGCAUGUACUGUUUGGUCCACUGUUUUUAUGAUGAGUCGGCUGUCUGCUGGGGAAACCUUUCUGGUAACAUCUGAUCUUGCUCUAUACCUAGAUGUUUGCUGGUAUACUGCAAUUUAUGUUUAUCGAAGUGAUGCAGUUCUACUAAGUGUGAUUAUUGUGUUACUUAGAUCUAUAGGUCAUUUUAUAUCUUACUUAUGAUUGUUAGAUAUAUUUGUUUCUACAUGGAUUCAUUAAUGUGUGGCUUACUGCUUAAAUUGACUUCCAUUUGAUUUCCAGAUUCAUGGAGGCUCUAGUGGGAUUGGGACUUUUGCAAUUCAGAUAGCUAAAUAUAAAGGGGUUAGGGUGUUUGUCACUGCAGGCAGUGAGGAAAAACUAGCUGCUUGUAAGGAACUUGGAGCUGAUGUGUGCAUCAAUUACAAAACAGAGGACUUUGUUGCACGGGUGAAGGAAGAAACUGGUGGGAAAGGUGUUGAUGUUAUUUUGGAUUGUAUUGGUGCAUCCUACUUUCAGAGAAACCUGGACAGCUUGAAUUUUGAUGGGAGGCUUUUUAUCAUUGGCUUCAUGGGUGGAGCUGUGACGGAAUUAAAUAUGACUUCUUUGUUGGCAAAACGGCUCACAGUGCAAGCGGCUGGUUUGCGUGGUAGAAGUGUAGAAAACAAAGCAGAAAUUGUGAAUGAGGUGGAGAAGAAUGUUUGGCCUGCUGUUGUUGCAGGGAAGGUGAAGCUUCUGGUCUAUAAGCAAUUUCCCCUAUCUGAGGCAGCAGAGGCUCACCGGCUUAUGGAAAGUAGCCAACAUAUUGGGAAGAUCCUUCUUAUCCCCUGAUGCUAUGGAAAGACAUGGCUUAGCUAUUGCUGUCUGCUAUAAUGUACUUUGGGAAUAAAAUGAGACUGAUGGGUUAUUUUGUAUGCAGUUAUUAAUUUGAGUGCUUCCAAAAUUACAGCUGUUAUUGAAUAGAAAUUAUACAAAAAUUACAUAAUGGGUGUUUUUAAGGUCACAUCAUCUCCUUGCAACUUGAUAUUUGAAGAUAUUAUUAACAUUUCAUAUGAUUGCAAGUUUUUUCCUUUUGGACUUUAAUCUUCUGAUGCUGGAUUCAACAGAUAUGUAAAACCGAAGAAAAAAAUGUGACAGGUAAACGAGGGAGAGGGAGAUGAACUUUGAAGCAUUGAAAUGGCGCUCUUAGCCACCAAACAUAGGAUUACAAUUUUAUUUGGGUCACCAUAGUCGUGAGUGUAAACUUAUUUAGCUUUGUUUGAAGCUAGAAAAGAAAAAUAUAUGCAAGACAUCGAGGAUAACUGCAAGACCAGAAGAAUGGCUGCUUGAGGUCCUUAUCUCAGUAGUGUGACAGACUAAACCACAAACCUUGAAUCAAGAAGCCAUCACAAUGAUUUUGGAGCAGCCAUUGGAAUUAGUUGCUGCAAAGAGCUUCAACCACAAAGCUUUUGAGAACUCCAGGGCAAGGAUCACCAAGAUUGGCUGCUGAUACAGGGAUUGAACACCCUUCUUGACCAAUGCAAACCUUUUGAACAAUGGAUAACAUGUCAGCAUGACAGUUUCCUGGACUGAAUGUGCCACAAUUUCCAGAAGGAGUUCCAAAACUAGCAAAGUUGAUUGAUGUAAUAUGCCAUCCCUUUUCACAGGUUAGUUGAACUUCCGGGCUUUGAGACUUGAAUUCUAAGUUUGAUUUCCAAGAGUCAGCUGGUGGUGGAUCAUCCUCUGACACAAUUGAACAUAUCUCUUGGCCAGUUCUUAUUAGCAGAGAAAUCUUUGAAGGGUCUCCCCCUAGCUCUUCAUGUAUGACUAGUAGGUUGUCACCAGGAUGAACCCAUGUGCGCGGGAUAUGAUACAGUGUUUGAGCAGGCUGACCACAUUUCUUCUGACAUUUAAAUGGAUUAUAAGAUCCUUUAUAAUCACAAUUGUCAGUGCAACCUGUUGGUGGUGAGAGAUAGGCAGGCCAAUAUCGGCCUAUGCUCUGUCCAUUAACCCAAGCCUGACCCUUCCCCAUGCCUGUGAGAUUUAAGGCUAAAGGACCCUUUCCUUCAGGGGGGACAAACAUGCCCUUGUACCAUAUCAAACUCUUAUAAACAGGUAGAGGAGUCCCCUGAUUCCACAGUGAACUAUUCGCUAGACUGACCUUAUCCAGUCCAAGGUAUUCCCCUUCAAGUCCCACCUGAUAGGUCCAUUUCCCGGAAGAAAUAUCAUUCUUGCCAUUACUUGGGCCAAUAAGCACAACAGAAUUAAUUCCAGCACCUUGAACAUCAAACCAUGGUCCAUAGUUCUGUAGACCAAUCAUCAUACUUAAUAAAUCCAGAGUGUUAUUUCCUUCAUUUAGACUAAUUUUCUCAGUGAGUGAAAAGCUUGCAUCAUCAUGAUUACCAUAUCCAAAUGCUACAAGCCUUUUGUUUAGAAAAACUAGCGCUGCAUGCCCCAAACUCUCAAUAUUUAAAACAAUAUCUUUCUCUCGAUCAGCACUCACACUGGUCGAGUACCAUAGAAAAUCACUGGUAUCUUUUGUUGUAUUAAUCUGCUCUAAUAGACCUGGCUCCAUAAAUGAGUUGUUACCCCAAAUGCCCACUUCUUCUUUAUACCAACUCCACACAGGCUCUAGUGAUAUCUCAUCAACAGAGGUUGAAUGAGCAAAUGAAAAAUCACCAAGACUUCUUUGUGAAACAACCUUGGCAGUGUUAAAAAUAACAUUCUUGCAAUCUGGAAGUAUGCUCACAGACCAAGCAGGAAGAAAGUACAAAUUUCCAUUGAAAGUAACAUUUGCAUCUGACCUGCUGUCAUAAUUGGCAAGAAAGGCUGCACAAUCAUUGGAAGAUUUAUAGUAGAUAUGUGCCUCUAAGUUAUUGCCAAGCUGCUUGUGCGUCGGAUCUGAGCUGAUCAAAUAUUCUUCACACUGCUUUAUUGCCUUGUGCAAGUCCCGGAGGUGACCCCACUUUGGCUGUCUAAUAAAGCCAUAUUCAUCUAUUGGGGCAUCA
rnacentral:misc_RNA from 1 species